AUGUGGAAGCUGAGCCAGUUGUUAGCACACUUCUGCCAGGGAAGGGUACAAGGCCGAUCCUCCCCGGUGCGGGGCUCUUCGUCCCUCCUUUUCCCUGCUCUGCCCACCCCGCUCCCAUGGCCGGGGCUGCACUCAGCGUUCCGCUCUCUGCGUGCAGCUCUCCUCACUGCCAACACCCCCCUUUGUCACUGCCCACCUGGCCAGCGAGGCAGACAUCUGCAUGAUUGCCGACUGCCUGGUAAGGACCCCCAGCCCUCAACCCCCCCCAUCCCCCACUCCAGAACACCCCCUGCUCCAGCAGGAGGUGGGGGGAGGGGCACUCUGCAGGUGCCACCCGCACCCUGGUGCUCUCUGCAGCUUCAGAAGGUUGGCAGCACCAUGGAGCAGUACGUGCAGCAGAGCGUGCAGCAACUGCGCAGCCCCCAGGUGCGGAUGCGGGAGGCGGCCGUGCGCUUCCUGGGGCUCCUGGCUCAGCAGCUCCACAGUGAGAACCCGGAGCGGAUGCCGGACAUCCGCAGAGCCCUGCAGAGCGCCCAGGAGGACAGCGAGCCGGCCGUGCGCUGCCUGGCGCAGCAAACGCUGCUCAUCCUCAGAAAACUGGAAGGCACGGCGCCCACCAGGCCUGGGGCGCUGCACUGCUGGCUGCAGAGGAUGUGUGAGAACUAGAGCCGUGCAGACAGGGCACUGUCUUUGUUUGUUGGAGUGUUCCAUGUAGAGGCAAAAUAAAGGAGCUGUUGUGUUGGAGCUGCUCCGUGGU
rnacentral:lncRNA from 1 species